AUAGACGAGUAUGAAUGUGGUGCACGUGCGUGUCGCAAUUUCGUGACUAGAUACAUACUCUUCUACG
rfam:Cerapachys biroi unplaced genomic scaffold scaffold59, whole genome shotgun sequence.